GGGCCCGUAGCUCAGCUGGUCAGAGCAGCGGACUCAUAAUCCGUUGGUCCCUGGUUCGAAUCCAGGCGGGCCCA
rnacentral:tRNA from 2 species